UACGGGGGGAGCAAGCGUUGUUCGGAUUUACUGGGCGUAAAGGGCGCGUAGGCGGCCAGCACAAGUCAGUUGUGAAAUCUCCGGGCUUAACUCGGAAAGGUCAACUGAUACUGUGCGGCUAGAGUGCAGAAGGGGCAACUGGAAUUCUCGGUGUAGCGGUGAAAUGCGUAGAUAUCGAGAGGAACACCUGCGGCGAAGGCGGGUUGCUGGGCUGACACUGACGCUGAGGUGCGAGAGCGUGGGGAGCGAACCGG
rnacentral:rRNA from 1 species